GUGGGCUCGGCCGCCGACUCCGCCGGUCUCCCCACUAGGUCCAAGUGGGCACAAGUAACAACAAAUAGAUAGAUAGAUAGAUAUCAGAAAGCUGUAAAGGCAUAAAGAAAAACUAUGCUACUAUGCCCAUAAUCAUGUAUAAUGAAUGCAUGCGUCAUAUAGUAAAGGUUUUGAAACAUACCAGAUUUUGGUAUAAAAAUAAAAUAAAUAAAAAUAGUGUGAGAAACUAUUUUUAUUGAAUUUAUAGAAGUAAAACAUAAGUCAGAAGUGACUUGUGCUGAAAUCGGAAUAAAAACAGAAGAUCUAGAAUUUUCUGUUGGAAACGGGACAGAUAAAUUAGCAGAAAAUGCAUAGUCUCAGAAAAUUAUGAAAAUUGGAGAAUAAGUCAGAAAUAUUUUUAUGAGGCUAGAUUUAAAGUUUCAUAUUUUUCUGACACCCGUAGAGUGAGAAAUAAAAUCCGAGAGUUAUCUGAUAAAGAUUACAGUUCGGUACAGUUUUCGGUGACCAAACGAGGUCGAAACUGAAAAAUUAAAAUAUAUUCUUACUCAGUACGUUAAACUGAGCCUGCCUGUCAAAUUUGAGCUCAAACGGACAUUCAGAAGGGCUCCAACUGUUUCGAACUGUAAAAACUGCCUGAAGUGAAUAGUGUCUUGGGGUGCAU
rnacentral:lncRNA from 1 species